AUGGAAGAGAUGUGUUUUAAGCCGAUUCUACUCACUCACUCACUCACUCACUCACUCACUCACUCACUCACUCACUCACUCACUCACUCACUCACUCACUCACUCACUCACUCACUCACUCACUCACUCACUCACUCACUCACUCACUCACUCACUCACUCACUCACUCACUCACUCACUCACUCACUCACUCACUCACUCACUCACUCACUCACUCACUCACUCACUCACUCACUCACUCACUCACUCACUCACUCACUCACUCACUCACUCACUCACUCACUCACUCACUCACUCACUCACUCACUCACUCACUCACUCACUCACUCACUCACUCACUCACUCACUCACUCACUCACUCACUCACUCACUCACUCACUCACUCACUCACUCACUCACUCACUCACUCACUCACUCACUCACUCACUCACUCACUCACUCACUCACUCACUCACUCACUCACUCACUCACUCACUCACUCACUCACUCACUCACUCACUCACUCACUCACUCACUCACUCACUCACUCACUCACUCACUCACUCACUCACUCACUCACUCACUCACUCACUCACUCACUCACUCACUCACUCACUCACUCACUCACUCACUCACUCACUCACUCACUCACUCACUCACUCACUCACUCACUCACUCACUCACUCACUCACUCACUCACUCACUCACUCACUCACUCACUCACUCACUCACUCACUCACUCACUCACUCACUCACUCACUCACUCACUCACUCACUCACUCACUCACUCACUCACUCACUCACUCACUCACUCACUCACUCACUCACUCACUCACUCACUCACUCACUCACUCACUCACUCACUCACUCACUCACUCACUCACUCACUCACUCACUCACUCACUCACUCACUCACUCACUCACUCACUCACUCACUCACUCACUCACUCACUCACUCACUCACUCACUCACUCACUCACUCACUCACUCACUCACUCACUCACUCACUCACUCACUCACUCACUCACUCACUCACUCACUCACUCACUCACUCACUCACUCACUCACUCACUCACUCACUCACUCACUCACUCACUCACUCACUCACUCACUCACUCACUCACUCACUCACUCACUCACUCACUCACUCACUCACUCACUCACUCACUCACUCACUCACUCACUCACUCACUCACUCACUCACUCACUCACUCACUCACUCACUCACUCACUCACUCACUCACUCACUCACUCACUCACUCACUCACUCACUCACUCACUCACUCACUCACUCACUCACUCACUCACUCACUCACUCACUCACUCACUCACUCACUCACUCACUCACUCACUCACUCACUCACUCACUCACUCACUCACUCACUCACUCACUCACUCACUCACUCACUCACUCACUCACUCACUCACUCACUCACUCACUCACUCACUCACUCACUCACUCACUCACUCACUCACUCACUCACUCACUCACUCACUCACUCACUCACUCACUCACUCACUCACUCACUCACUCACUCACUCACUCACUCACUCACUCACUCACUCACUCACUCACUCACUCACUCACUCACUCACUCACUCACUCACUCACCCACUCACUCACUCACUCACUCACUCACUCACUCACAGCUCUCUCUAUGCUCAUGA
rnacentral:lncRNA from 1 species